UUCCUGAAGCGGCUCCCAGGACUCGGCCCACUGAGCGGUCGGGGUGCCUGCCAAUCAUUGCGUGCCCUCGCCAAUCACGGUACGCCUCGCCUUGUAGCAACGAGUUCUUUCUGGUCCACAGGCGGACAGAUGGCGCCGGGAAGGCGGGUCCAGCCACAGUAAAAGUCUGAGUAAACUCGGCCGGGAUCUUGCCCCCUAGCCGCCACGCCUCCAGGACGUCUCUUUCCUGGCUCAAGCUUGUGAGCUGCUUAGUAACAGGUGGUUGGACCCAGGAGUAGGAGUCGCGCCACCCUCCGCUCGCCUCUGCACCUUGGGGCUCCAUCUUCACACUUCAUACCGGCUAGUGAAGUGCCUACUGACGGCGCGUACUUUUUGCCAGGAGUCCUAAUUACGACGCAUCGAGAUACACAGAGGACUCCCCGAUGUAGCAGCGAGUACAAAAAAAGUGUGGCCAAAUUACUGUUCAGCAAGUUUACUUACGAGCAUGACAGCUGAUCUUGUCAACCUGGUGGGAUCUGGAUCUGGAACCACUGGAGAGACACACUUCUGCGCAUAUCUAUGUGGCUGUUCUAAGAGAAGAAGGGGACACACCUUCUAAGAUACAAAGAGAUCCAAGGAAAAAGCAAAGUGAUGUGAGGCCACCGGCCUGGCUUCCCUUCUUGCUAUUGUGUCUGUCCUGCCCCUGUCACUUCAGCUGCCAUGCCCUGCUGAUGUCAGACCUUUACCUUCACACAUGGACUGAAUGUCAGUUGCUCUCCCGGAAUCGUCCAGGUGUCGAUGCCAGUGAGAGACUACUGAGGGAUGCAGCAGUUACUGGGUUCUCAGUCUCUCUGGCCUGUAGACAACUGUGGGUCCAUUGCUCAGACUGCAUUAUGUAAAUCUAUGUAAUGCAUCUCUUUUUAUAUCACACAUUUGAUCCAUCCUGCUCCUCUGGAGAACCCUGGCCAUUGUAGAGAUGUGCAGUGUUAAUAUUGUAAAAUUGAUGGAAUAUCCAAUCACCUCAGAGACAAAAAUAUGGGCAUUCCCUGAAGAAGUUCCUAGCUUGUGCUUAAUGGUGAAGGUAGGACCCACCGCAAACAUGGGUGGUAUCAUCCCAUGUGCUGUAACCAUGAAUUAAAAGGGAAAGUGGGCGGA